rnacentral:rRNA from 1 species
GGGCCCGCACAAGCGGUGGAGCAUGUGGUUUAAUUCGAUGCAACGCGAAAACCUUACCUACCUUUGACAUACCAAGGAUCUUGCAGAAGUGCAAGAGUGCCUUCGGAACUUGGAUACAGGUGCUGCAUGGCUGUCGUCAGCUCGUGUCGUGAGAUGUUGGGUUAAGUCCCGUAACGAGCGCAACCCUCAUCCUUAGUUGCCAGCGCGUAAUGGCGGGAACUCUAAGGAAACUGCCGGUGCAAAACCGUGAGGAAGGUGGGAUGACGUCAAAUCAUCACGGCCCUUACGUCCUGGGCUACACACGUGCUACAAUGGUCGGUACAGAGAGCAGCCACUACGCGAGUAGGAGCA